rnacentral:rRNA from 1 species
GAUGAACGCUAGCGGCAGGCCUAAUACAUGCAAGUCGAACGGUAACAGGGUAGCAAUACCGCUGACGAGUGGCGCACGGGUGCGUAACGCGUAUGCAACUUACCUUAAACUGGGAGAUAGCCCCUCGAAAGAGGGAUUAAUACCCCAUAGUAAUUAGAUGAGGCAUCUCAUUUAGUUUAAAGCUCCGGCGGUUUAAGAUAGGCAUGCGUGACAUUAGCUAGUUGGUGAGGUAAUGGCUCACCAAGGCUACGAUGUCUAGGGGUUCUGAGAGGAUGAUCCCCCACACUGGUACUGAGACACGGACCAGACUCCUACGGGAGGCAGCAGUAAGGAAUAUUGGUCAAUGGGCGCAAGCCUGAACCAGCCAUGCCGCGUGAAGGAUGACGGCCCUAUGGGUUGUAAACUUCUUUUGUACGGGAAUAAACCCAGGUACGUGUACCUGGCUGAAUGUACCGUAAGAAUAAGGAUCGGCUAACUCCGUGCCAGCAGCCGCGGUAAUACGGAGGAUCCAAGCGUUAUCCGGAUUCAUUGGGUUUAAAGGGUGCGUAGGCGGAUUUAUAAGUCAGUGGUGAAAUCCUGCAGCUUAACUGCAGAACUGCCAUUGAUACUGUAAGUCUUGAGUGUGUUUGAAGUGGGCGGAAUGUGUCAUGUAGCGGUGAAAUGCUUAGAUAUGACACAGAACACCGAUUGCGUAGGCAGCUCAC